UCUAGAAUCUCCCAGACAUGUGGCACCACACCCACUUUUGUUUUCAUUUUCCGAGUCAGUCUCCCUCUGGAGCCCAGUCUGGCCUGGUCCUUGCCACAAUCCUCUUGACUUAAGUCUCCCGAGUGCCAGGAUUCCAGGCAUGAAACCCCCAUGCCAGCACGUUGUGCCUUUGUUCUUUGGAGUGCCCCUGUACAGUGAAGGGGGCCCUGGCUCCCAUCCCGUUCUGUUAAGUUGACUGACUCUCCACAAACAUCCAAGGGACAAAUACUUUUCGAUCAGUGAAUUCCACCAUCUGAGGACCAAGUAUUCAAACCCGAGGUUAUGGAGGCCACAUUCAUUCAAGACCUCACAUCACACGCACAUCAUGUUCUUAAGCUGCUUCCUGCUUCUGGACGAGAACUCUCAGGUUCCUGUUCUGGCCACCCUGAGAAAGUGUGCUGAGAACCAGAAGAAAACAAGAGCUGGGUGUAACAGCACUUGGGACGCAGUGAGUUCCAGGCUAGCCUGAUCUACAUAGAGAAAGCCUACCAAGAGAAGAAAGAAAAAAAAAAAAAGAAGAAGAAGAAAAAGAAAUAUUUUGGUGGGGCAGUGGUAGUGCUCGUCAUUAAUCCCAGCAAUUCUGGAGACAGAGGCAAGAAAAUUUCUGAGUUUGAGCUCUGCUAGCCUGGCCUACAGAGCAAGUACAAGGGCAGCCAAGGCUACCCAGAGAAAGCCUGUCUCAAAAAACAAAAAUAAACAAAUCUAAAUAUUUAUUUGUGUGCAAAAACACAUGUGUGUGCCAUAGUACAGGUAUGCAGGUCAGGACAACUUGUUAGAGAUCUCUUUCCACUGUGUGGGGUCUGGGGGAUCCACCUUAGGUCAUCAGGCUUGGUGUUCAGCACCUUUACCAGGCAUCUGCCCAGCCCCAGACAGCAUCUUGCUAUGUAGGCUUGCCUGGCUUGGCACUGGCUGUGUAGAGCAGGUUGACCUUAAACUUGAAAUGACCUUCCUACUUCUGCCUCCUAAGUACUGGGAUUACAGGAAAAAUCCCACAGUACUGGGCCCUUCUUCUUGCCUUUUUUUUUUUUUUUUUUUUUUUUUAAACCCUGUCUCUUCGGACCAGCUGCAGAACCUUAGUUCCAAACAAUAGUUUUUCUAUAAGUUUUAUUAAAAACAUAAAUGCUGAGAUGCCCUGGCUGGGGCGGGGCAGUGAGGCCUGACACUCCCUCCACAUGGCCACCCCUCAUCCCCAGAGCUCCUGCCAGGCCUCCUGCCCUGGAAUCUGCUUUUUGAUAGAUAUCUUCUCCUUCCGCCCUCCGUGCUUUGCUUGCAGAUGGCCACACCGGGUGAAAUUCCACUCCUGCUCUCUCUGCAGUGGCUACCGCCCCUACUUAGCCCUUGUCUGGGCAAUUGAAUCAGAUUCCCCAAAGAUAGACUUUGACAUGUUGGGAGGCCUUAGAAGCCCCUGUCUGAGCCCAGGCCCCUCUCAGUUAGGGGACUCUUUGUUCUCCCUUCUCCCAGCACAGGGACAGGCUGUUUGCAGGGUUCCCUGUUUGCCUGAAGCCUGAACCCUAAGGAGGAAAACAAUUGCCUUGGUCCCUUUCCUGAGUUCCCAGUAAUUAAAUUCAUAUGGCAGGAAGAGCGUCUGAAGCAUGUCGGCACACCAUUGUCUCCUAUUUAAGUCCCGUCGAGAACCAUGCACAAACCAUUGUUGUUCUGGGGCCUAGCUGACUGUCCUGAUUUGUUGUGUUGUCCAAGUCCCACUGAGUCCUCUAAAAACCAUUACUGCAGGGGGAA